rfam:Sporosarcina psychrophila strain DSM 6497, complete genome.
AUAAUUAACGGAAACUGUGAAAUACAUCCUCUAUAUGGGCACCUUGGAUGUAUGGAGUUAUUGGUGCAACCGGCCUGAUUAG